rnacentral:lncRNA from 1 species
CCUCGUCCGAACUUGAUAAGUCACUAUCUCCUCAAAUCCCAACCAUUGCUCUUUUCUUAAUCUUUUUGGAGUACUUCUUGAGUAAGGGACAAUCCGGCUUGUAGUGUCUCUUUUUGUUGCAUUUGUAGUAAGUGACAUUCUUCUUUUCUUUUUGUUGUUUAUUUUCUUUCUUCUUCACACUUCUAUUCAUGAGGAACUUCUUGAAUUUUCUUGUGAGUAGUGUCAUGUCCUCAUCAUUUUUAUUCUCUUCUUCAUCUUCUUCUUCCUCCGCAGUAGACUUGAAAGUGAUGGUUUUUCUUCAUUAGCUCUUCUUCUUUCUCUCUUUGAGCCAUGUUCAACUCAUGAGUCAUAAGUUAACUUGUCAACUCCUCCAUGAAUAGUUUGGUAAGGUCUUUAGUUUCUUGAAUGGCUAUCACUUUUGCUUCCCAUUCUUUUAGCAAAGACUUCAAAAUCUUGCAAAAAAAUUCAUAGUUAGUAUAAGUUUUGCCAAGAUCAUUUAAACAAUUAAUAAUAUCGAUAAAUUUAAAAAAUAUAUCAAAAUUUGACUCAUAUUUUUUUAUUUUAAACAUUUCAUACUUAUGAACAAAUAAAUUGAUUUUAAACUUUUUAACUUGGCUUGCUCCCUUAUGAGUAAUUUCUAAUUUAUCCUAAUUUUUUUUACUGAUAUACAAGUAGAUAUUUUAUUAAAUUUAUCAACAUCAAAUGUAUAAUAUAAAACAUUAAUGGCCUUUGCAUUUAGCUCAAUUAGUUUCAUAUCAUGCACAUCCCAAUCUGCUUCGAAUUUGAAAACAUCAAUACCAUUUACUUUAAUUGUAAGAGUGUACGAGCCAUUGAUUAUAACUCUCCAUAAUUAAUAAUUUAAUACUUGAAUAUAUAUACGCAUACGUGCUUUCCAAUAUAUAUAGUUUGCACUAUUAAAUAGUGGUGGUCUCGAGAUUAAUUGUCCUUCGGCAAACGAGGAACCAACCGGGAUUGUCAUAAUCUUUUAUACUUUGAUCGCAAGGUCAAUAAUUAAAUAUUAAAAUAUCUGCUCUGAUACCAAUUAUUGUCCAGAUGCAACAACCC